GGCUGAGUAGCCAAGUGGUUGAAGGCAUUGGUCUGCAAAACCGACAUCGUGAGUACCCUUCUCUUCGAGACGCUACGCGAACGGGAAGCCGCUUCGCGUCUACAAAUCUCACCUCAGCCU
rnacentral:tRNA from 1 species